rnacentral:rRNA from 1 species
GAUGAACGCUAGCGGCAGGCCUAAUACAUGCAAGUCGGACGGGAUUCAGGAGCCUGCUUCUGAUGAGAGUGGCGCACGGGUGCGUAACACGUAUGUAACCUACCUUUAUCAGGGGGAUAGCCUCUCGAAAGAGAGAUUAAGCCCGCAUAAAAUCACAGCACAGCAUUGUGUAAUGAUCAAAUAUUUAUAGGAUAAAGAUGGGCAUGCGGAACAUUAGCUAGAUGGCGGGGUAACGGCCCACCAUGGCGACGAUGUUUAGGGGAUCUGAGAGGAUGGCCCCCCACACUGGUACUGAGACACGGACCAGACUCCUACGGGAGGCAGCAGUAAGGAAUAUUGGUCAAUGGGCGGAAGCCUGAACCAGCCAUGCCGCGUGCAGGAAGACGGCCCUACGGGUUGUAAACUGCUUUUAUACGGGAAUAAACCCAGAUACGUGUAUCUGGCUGAAUGUACUGUAAGAAUAAGGAUCGGCUAACUCCGUG